rnacentral:misc_RNA from 1 species
UCCGGCUUAUCACCGGCGGUUUCUUUAGAGUGCCCAACUAAAUGAUGGCAACUAAAGACGAGGGUUGCGCUCGUUGCGGGACUUAACCCAACAUCUCACGACACGAGCUGACGACAACCAUGCACCACCUGUGCACGGCCCUUACGGACCCCACAUCUCUGCGGGAUUUCCGCGCAUGUCAAGCCUAGGUAAGGUUCUUCGCGUUGCAUCGAAUUAAACCACAUCAUCCACCGCUUGUGCGGGCCCCCGCCAAUUCCUUUGAGUUUCAACCUUGCGGCCGUAGUCCCCAGGCGGUUCACUUAAUGCGUUAGCUGCGGCACCGAGGGGAACCCCCGACACCUAGUGAACAUAGUUUAGGGCCAAGACUAC